CAACUGCAGUCUUCAACCAGCAACGACCCGCACGCCCCGCUGCGUGUGCUUCAAAUGAUGAGCAGAGGGGCAACGCAGUCACACCCUGCUGCUAAUGAGCCUGAGUGUGAGAAAGUCUGACCAUGGAGAUUCUCACUGCAACUCACGGAUGACUGGGUCCCUGUGGGGGAGACAUCAAGCCUGCAUGCUCCAGCUAAGCCAAUCCAAAAGACUGCAAGAAAGAAAGAAAUGUUAAGGGAAAUAUGCAGUUUGUGGAUG